GCUGCAUUAUUUCGACAAUUCGCUGACUAAGUUCUUUGUAUGUUUGCAUGGCAAUGAUAUAAUAUUUGUUUUGGUUUCUACAGAAUUUCACGGUUCUUAUUAUAGCAAAGCUUUCGAACCAUAAGCUAGCUCGUAUUAUCAUCAUAUUAUUAACACUGAUAAAAGAUGCAGGCUUACGGAUCGAAUGUUUUGCAGCAAUCAAUAUAAACCUGGUGUUCUCCACAAACCAAAAAAUAAUUCGCUUACUUCAGCAAAUUCAAUUGUUGAUGCUCUUCCAAGAACUGAUAACAAUACAAUACAAUUCAUGCAGACUUAGCUCAUAUUCAUAGACAUAAAAUUGGAUCUUCUCUACAUAUAUCUUCUUUCAAUCAAAUUUUUACCUUAACAUAAUUGCUGAUUUAUAAGGUCACUGGCACUCGAUCUGACUCUCCUAGAUUCCCGUUGCCAGAAAUUUUCAUCCAUAAUCUAUAUUAGUUGCAUCGAAAUGCAUCUAUUAUUCCUAUGCUAAUAACUGUACACAUGAUCCACCGCGUGAUCCACCGUGCACUCUGGGAACCAACAAUUAGAACAAAUGGAAAGAAGAAUAGGACGACCAAAAACCUAAACAUAAUUUAAUAAUCGUAGGGAUACCGACUGGGAGGACGUGAAUGAAAUACCAAGGGCAAUGGCGGAUAGAGCCAACAAGAUUGUUCGACAAUAUAUUUGAACAAAUGUACUUCAUUGAUAUCGACAUGCAAGUAUGUAAAAAAGAACCAAUCCAAUUUUUUGCAAGUAAUUGCUUCAAAUUUUUUGGUACUACUCGUUUUGUAUACAUCAGGUUUUCAAUAUAAAGAUUGAAUCGGGCACACGACCGAUUUAUGGUGUAUAGGUGCAUGGUAUUUAAUUAACGAAG